ensembl:lncRNA
CACGCCUACCUCCUCCAGAAUGUUCUUGCCUUGUCUAGAUGUUGUGAAGGGGUUUUUCUUCAACAAGGAAAGAAUUCUGCGAUCGUCCACUUUUGGUGUCUCUGAGCUCUCCACCUAACGAUGACCUCCUUCACCUGCAUCAACACGUCUUUGGACCGAAUAUUAAGAUUUCUCAUGAACAGAUACCGAAUGCAAAUUCAACACUUGGAAUCGACUCAAGACUUUUUAUCUCCUUAAUUUGUCAUGAAAUAACGAGGAAACAGGUCACACCUGGCCAUGAAACUGCUUACCAGUCAAUUGUCCCAUUACUUUUGAACCGUGUAAAUGGAGGGACUCUGUAAAAAAAAAAAAAAGGCUGUAAUUCCUAAACGGUUAAAAUGCUAUGUCAUGUAGAUGUGUUAUGUUGUAUUUUACACCUAAAAUGUUAAUGA